UCCAUUCUCCAUCCAUGCAUGGUGAAAUUUCCGAGCUCUAUCAGCAACGGAAAGAUGAACAGGCGAAGAAGCUCGGAGAACGAGAACCCCUUUCUCCUUCCCCAUCUCCCUGACGAGUUGAUUCUUCUUCAAAUCCUUCUUCGACUACCAGUUCGAUCUCUGCUCCGUUUCAAAACCGUCUGCAAAUCAUGGCUCUCUCGCAUUUCCGAACCCCAAUUCGCCAAAUCCCAUUUUGACCUAGCUGCUUCACCCACCCACCGCAUCUUCCUAAACGACGCCCCUGGUUUCAAAAUCGAAUCAUUCGACACCGAUUCAUCGCUCCACGAUGAUUCUGCUGUGGUUAACCUCAAAUUCCCGCUUGCACCGCCGUGUCCUCGAAUGCUGUUAUGGGCAAACACCCGUUUGAUGGUUAUGGGUUCUUGCAGAGGGUUUGUGUUUUUAGCCAAUUACAAAGGUGACAUUGUUGUAUGGAAUCCUUCAACUGGUGAGCGAAGAAGAAUUCCAGAUAGUUUUAAUAUGGGUUUAGAAUUUCUUUAUGGUAUUGGGUAUGACAAAAUAGGUGAUGAUUACUUGUUAAUUUAUAUAGAAUCGAAUGACCUCGUCGUGGCUGAGUAUAUGCCCGAAAUUAAGAUUUUCUCUUUGAAAUAUAAUUCACAUGUCUUGUGUGGUAUGAAUGAUGAGUAUGUGGAUUUGGGAUCUGAUUUUAGACCUGGUUUGUUUUUGAAUGACUCUCUGCAUUGGUUGGUUAAGUCUCGUGUUAGGAACGUUCGUGUAGUUCUCGCUUUUGAUUUGGUAGAGGGGAGUUUAUUAGAGAUUCCUAUGUCAUUGCAUGAUUUAGCUGUGGAAUUGGGCGAUGAUAACAAAGAGUAUCAUUUGAGGGUGAUGGGAGGGUGUCUCUGUCUGUGUCACUCGCGUGUGGGUAUGGCUGAAAUAUGGAUGAUGAUGGAGUAUAAAGUGGAAUCAUCUUGGACUAAGAUUGUUUUGUCAGAUUACGACUUCCCUUGCAACUCCUUUUUUCCAAUAUGGUUCACCAAAUGUGGUGAUAUUUUUGGAUCAAAUGAGGUUGGAAGAUUAUUGAAGCUUAACGAUAAAGGAAACCUGCUUGAGCAUCGCGCACUUUGGAAGGGGAAAGGGGAGAGGAGCUAUCGUCUAUUAUACACUCAUAUGUAUACAGAGAGUUUACUUUCACUCCCUGAGAUAGUGAGUGGACAUUACCCACCCGAAUAUUACCCACCCUUUAGUGGCUUUGAGGAAAUAGAUGCACAUGAACAACAACCUGCUGACUUAGAUCAAGGGGGUGAAGAUGACCAACAACCUGGUGACUUAGAUCAAGGGAGUGAAGAUGAUCAACAAGCAAGUGAAGAUGACCAACAACCUACAUAAUCUGAGGAAGAACUUGCAGAUGACCAAAACCUGGGUGGCUUUGAUGAAGCAACUGGAGAUGACCAACACUAGCAGACACGGAGUAUCAAUGCAUCAAAUGAUACAUGAAAUUGCUAAGAAAGGUGUGGUUGGUGGACUGAAUUCACUAGCAAUAUUUGAUGUCUUGCUUGCUCAGAAUAAUGAAGACAAUUUGGGUGGAAAUUUAUGCACAACCGCACAAAGUAUGCAAGAACUCUCUAUAUAGUCAGGUCAAUGUCCUAGCUUUCCUUCAAAUGAUGAUACUACUGGAAGAAAACAUAAUAUUUAGAAGAAAAUGUAAUUUAUAUGAUGUGAAAUGGUCUUGUAUGACUGGUGUCUGUUUCAGUGGUGAUUUUAGUGAGGCUGGUGUGUAGAUAGACUUCAGAAUCUAAUCACGUAUGAAGUAUGUAAGUUAGCAAAUUCUAGUUGUAAUUAAUACUUGAUAUUUUGUGGCUUUGUUUCACGCCUUUACCUUCAAACAUACCACUGUGUGUUUAUUACCAAUAUAUUUUGGUUCUGAUAGUGUUUAUCACCACUUGAAAUCAAUAAUUAACUUUGAGAAAGACUUCCAUUUCCUUUCUUGUUUACCUUCACCUUAUUCUUCUAUUAUGUGUUAUG